GACGAACGCUGGCGGCGUGCCUAAUACAUGCAAGUAGAACGCUGAAGGAGGAGCUUGCUCUUCUGGAUGAGUUGCGAACGGGUGAGUAACGCGUAGGUAACCUGCCUGGUAGCGGGGGAUAACUAUUGGAAACGAUAGCUAAUACCGCAUAAUAGUAGAUGUUGCAUGAUAUUUACUUAAAAGGUGCAAUUGCACCACUACCAGAUGGACCUGCGUUGUAUUAGCUAGUUGGUGGGGUAACGGCUCACCAAGGCGACGAUACAUAGCCGACCUGAGAGGGGGAUCGGCCACACUGGGACUGAGACACGGCCCAGACUCCUACGGGAGGCAGCAGGAGGGAAUCUUCGGCAAUGGACGAAAGGCUGACCGAGCAACGCCGCGUGAGGGAAGAAGGUUUUCGGAUCGUAAAGCUCUGUUGUAAGAGAAGAACGAGUGUGAGAGUGGAAAGUUCACACUGUGACGGUAUCUUACCAGAAAGGGACGGCUAACUACGUG
rnacentral:rRNA from 1 species